UGGCUCUCACCUGUGGAGGGCAGGGUGCUCUCAUGUUUGUUUAUACCAGAACAUAGAAUAGAACUUGGUAAAGGUAAAUGCUCAUUUAAGAAAUAAAAAUACAUCAAAUAAAGUAAAAAGCAACCUGGUAGAUAGCAUUUCCUUUUCAUUUUUUUAAAAUAGCUUUAUCGAAGGAUAAUUGAAUGGAAAUGGUCAUUAAUAUAUAUCCAGAAUCUAUUAACGUUCGGCUAAGUUGGGGGGAACAUAGGGAUGUUUUAAGGCAACUAAGCGAUUUAGAAAACUUAAGUUCUUUAAUGUUUUCAAAGAAAAGGUUGAGUCUGUAAGAUAUAAUCUGGCAAUUUGUAUAGAACUCUUUCUACUAGCUUCCAGGAAUCCCUGCUCUGUGAGCUUUUUGCCAAACUGAUUGAUCUUCCCAGACAUAAUCUGGGGACCUUCUCUAAUAUGCCCCUGUCCCGCUGUCAGCUUAAUACACUCUUUUGCUAAGUAAUAGGGUAUUGCUAGUGUUCUUCCAGGUUCUCUUCAUAAAGGCGCUUCUCUGUCAAUAAGAGACUGUGUUUAUAUUCUUGUGCACAAAUAACUGGCCCUCUUCUCAGUGUUUGAGAUCCCUCAUCUUGCUCCGACUGUUGCAGCCUUUUCUCGCCAUGACAGACUGCCAUACUACAUGGCCUUCUCCCAUCGAAAGGGUCUAGCAUGUGGACCACUGAACUGCCAAGGAAGCAGUCCAACUGCCCUGAGGCUGCCAUGCUGUGAGGAAACCCAAAGUGGUCCAUAAAGAAGGAUUAUGUGGAGGGACCCUGAAAGAUGCCUGGCCUGCCUCCCACUGCUCCAGUACCCUCCUCCCCAACUCUUCCAGCUUCAGCCACUGUCUGCAACCACAUGAGAGCUCCCGAGCCAUAAAUGCCCAGCCUAGUCUCCCCUAAGUUUCUAACCCACAGUUUAAACUACUAAGCUUGGGUUGCUUUGUUAUGCCUCAAUAGCAACUGGGACAUGCCCCUUUCUCCAUUCUGCUGCUGAAUCUGGUUACAGCAGCAGAGACACAUGCCAGGGGCAUCUCUAGUAACAGGGGAAAGCCCUUUGGGAGUAGAUUCAAAGUGGGGGGUCAAGACAAAUUAUUCAGCGAGCCUGACUUUUAGAACUCAAGGGGCACCAAGUAAGUGCAUGAUCCUGAGGCAAUCAAUUCCUCUCGUUUUCCUUUUUUUGUAAAGGGAUGAACUAGACACAGUGUGGAAAGCCAGCUUUACCACAUUCUCCUACGAUCUUCUGAAGUUACCUAAUCUCUCUAACCCCAGAUUCCUCUUCUGUAAAAUGGGGAUAAUAGCCACAAAAAUAGAACAGUAGUGUAAAAUUAGAUAGUAUGUGUGGAAAAGUAGAGUCUUGAAACUUGACUUAAGUGGUUGAUGAAUGUUAGCCCCCUCCACCAAUGCCUUCCCCUUGCAUUCUAAUAUUCUCUGCUCCUCUGAGCAAAUUUACCAGAUGAUUGUUGGAGUUUUUUGUAAUCCUCAUCAAGUCAGAGAAGACUAGUGAGGUUGUGGCAAAUAAAUGAUUCUGAGGGUCCAGGGCGAGCUUUAGGUAAAUUGUGGUUUUAGUGUUUGAGAAAGAGCCUGUCACUAGUGGGAGUCUUCAUUAUUCACUGGCAAGAUAUAACAAGCAGGGCUUUGCAGUAAUGCACAGCUCCUCUGCUCUUGGCAAUCUUGUGGCCGAAAGAUAUUUUUAAAGCCCCUGUUUUCAGAUGACCGUGUUUCUGAUUAGCAUGUGUCUUUUCCAUUUUCAGUUCCACGAAGAGAAAGGCAAGUGAAAUUUGCCCAGCCUCACCAUCUCCAAAUGGGUGAUAUUACUGAACAAUUAUUUAAUGGCCCCACAGCAUCUGUUUUUUAUAUUUUGGGGUCCAUACUGGAAGUUCAAGCUUAUGAAUAAUCCAGAUAUUUAAAAGCCAAUGCUCAACUGGAUAUUCUCCUUAGGAUUAUUUUAGCCUUGUCUAGAAUCAGAGUGUCUGUCAAUUGCCACAACAUAUAUAUUAAGUUUGAAAGAGAUUAAGCUGGAAAAUUCGAUAUUUUAAAAAUAAUACCAAGAGAGGCUGGGAGCAGAAAGAGAAGAAAAGAUAACUAUUGGGUACUGGGUGAUGAAAUAAUAUUUACAAUAAACCCCCAUGGCAAGUGUUUACCUAUGUAGCAAACCUUCACAUGCACCCCCAAACAUAAAAUAAAAGUUAAAGAAAGAAAAAAACAGAAACUCUUACUUAUAACUCAUUUCAUUUAAUAACGUUUUUACUCUUUUAAAAAUAAAAUAAUGCUAAUGAUGAUGAUAACAGGGUUCAUACCUGUAGAGCAUUUUACAAGUGGCAGAGAGCUUUCAUUGAUAUCAUUUCUCUUAAGUCUUCACCCUGUGAGGUAGGCAUAGAAAGAAAUUUUAUCCCCAAAUGACAGAUGAAAAAAUAGAGAGCCCAUGAGUUUAACUGACUUGCUCAAAGCCACAAAGGCUGCAUUUCCUGAGCCUGAGUACCCCUAGGAAGAGCUCCAGCCAAUCUAGGGUGCAGAACCAAUGAGUUAGUUUAUCAUUUAUCAAUCCCAGUGAUGCAUAAGCUGUGCAGAAUUAGAAAGGUCAGCUCCAGGCUGGCCCACCAAAAAAGUAGAGGAAAACUUGGGAAUGCCCACUAGCCUAUUCAGAAGUUGGAUUCAGGUUGGGAGAAAGAAAAUAGGAGCCGAAUUAUUUUGAGGUGGUAUACACGAGUUACCUAUUGCCAUUGUAACAAAGCCAGCACAAACUUGGUGGCUUACAAUGACAUAAAUUUAUCCUUUUACAGUUCUGGAAACCAAAAAUCCAACAUUAAUUUCUCUGGGCUUUCAAAUCAAGCUGCCAGCAGGGAGAGUUCCUUCUGGAGGCUGUAGGGGAGAAUGUAUUUCCUUGCCUUUUUCAGCUUCCAGAGAUUCUCAUAUUCUUUGACUUGUGGCCCCUUCCUCCAUCUUCAAUGCAUAUAAUCUCUGUUUCCAUUGUCACACAACUCUCCUCCUACACCUUACAAUGGACCCAUCUGGAUGACAUGGGAUAAUCUCUGCACUUCAUGACCCCUAACUUAAUCACAUCUGCAAAGUCCCUUUAACAUGUAGGAGAACAUAGUCCCAGGUUCCAGGAAUUAGGACAUGGGCAUCUUUGGGACCAUCAUUCAGUCUACCAUAGGUGACAAGGUGACAGGCGGAUGGUGGCCACCGUUUUUUUUUGCAUGGUUGUGUUUGCCUGUCUGAAAGCCACACUCCUCACUGCCACCUGACAUGUAGAGGCCAAAAUAGAAAACACAUCUUCAGAUCCCAAGUAAAGUGCUCUUUCAGGCACGUCACACCUGCCAUCUCAAACUAUAUUUACAUUCAUUUUUGCAAAUAGCCCAUUCUUGUAUAGAAGGCAAUUAAUAUUUGCAUAAUGUUUUAGAGUUUAUAAUGGCCUUUUUAUUUACAUGAAGUCACUUAAACCCCUACAAUAGCCCUCUGAGACAGUUAUUAUUAACACAUUUUUACAUAUGAAGAAGCUAAGGCUCAGCGGGGUGAAGUGGUUUGUCUAAGGUCACCCAGCUGGUAAGGGCAAGACCACAAUGCAAAUCCCAAAAGUUCCACUAUAUUCCGCUCUAAAUAAUGAGUCUAUACUGAAGUCCACUUACUAGCCAUGGUGGCUUAUCUUUUGGGGAUACUCUGAAGGUGAAUGGGGUCUCCAUUGCGCUUUUGAGAUAAAAUGAGUCAAUAAAUGUGAAAGUCCUUUGUAGCAGUAUGACUCACUAUGACAGAAAGUUAUUGAUAGCAUUAUCAUCAUCACCACCAACAUCCUCUGCCCUGGAGACCAAGAGAAUUCAAACAGGUCAGCACCUCUAAUUGCUGUAUAGAACAUUGACCCUACUGUCUCCCAGUUCCUGAGGAUGGUGUGAUAAUAAUACAUCUCAGAGUUCUGUAGUUUCUUCACCACUGUGCAGGUGUGGUUGGUGGGAGCAAUGCCCUGGAUGGAUAAGCCAAGCUCUUGUGUCCUGGCAGAUAAACAAGGUGAACCCUCAAUCCGUGUAGCAGGAGUUUCCAGACAAACUCACUUUGCAUGGAAGGACACUAACCCUUCCAGAUGUGUCUAAUUUUGUGGAAAGGAGAAGGUUGGGAGCUCCGGAGCUAAUAGGAUGCACAGGAGGAAGAUACGGAGCACAGUGGCUGAGACCUGACAGCUCUCUGAAGACUCCACUUCACCGCCGCCACUCCACUUCACCGCCGCCAGCCCUGGCCCACACCUUUCUUAAGAGCAACUUAAGAAAUUUGCAACUUCAAAACCAGACCAGAGGGUGAGAAGAACUAGCCAACCCAUCCUCCAAGUGUGACUGAGCGGUCAGGCUGCCCCCACCUCAUUUGAGUGAGACCGCCAAGAGCCUUCACGUGGGACCUAGACCACAGGAACACAAUUAGGAAGUACUCCCUGCCCCUCACAACGGCCAUCCUCACCAGGCAGCGGGGACAGAAGGGAGGCAGGUGCAUUCAAAUCGCGCUGGCCUGAAGAAGGGAAAUGAAGCGCUAAACUCAGCUCGGUCCCACAAUGAGUCAGAAUGGGGGCAGGGAGGAGCGCCCAAAGCCCUCUGGCCCUUCUCCUUGGGAACUAGUCCUGCACAUGGCCACCAGCCCUGGGAAUCACAGCAUUUGGCAUGGGUCUCAGUUCUUGUACUCCAUUGCUGUGGGACAAGAGACACUAAACUUCCAGGUUUUCUCUCAAUAGCUGGCUUCACCUGUAAACACAGUGGCAUAUUAGACAAGCUCUCUUCAUCUGAAAUGUGCCCACCCCCCCAACAAUCCCACCUUUGCCUGCUCAAACCUGACUCAUGCUUCAUGUUCAUAUUCAACUUCUUCCCUUGUGCUUCUAACUAAAUCUAGGAAUCUCCUUGUUCUUAGAACCACCUUUAUCCCUUCUCAGAUAUUUAUGUAUAUCAGUUUUUAAAUGAAAAUAAUUUCUCACCUAUUAAGCUGGGCACCCUGCUAAUCACUUUCACACUUGCUGUUUAA